CCAGGUCUUGACAUCCCGAUGCUAUUUCUAGAGAUAGAAAGUUACUUCGGUACAUCGGUGACAGGUGGUGCAUGGUUGUCGUCAGCUCGUGUCGUGAGAUGUUGGGUUAAGUCCCGCAACGAGCGCAACCCCUAUUGUUAGUUGCCAUCAUUCAGUUGGGCACUCUAGCGAGACUGCCGGUAAUAAACCGGAGGAAGGUGGGGAUGACGUCAAAUCAUCAUGCCCCUUAUGACCUGGGCUACACACGUGCUACAAUGGUUGGUACAACGAGUUGCGAGUCGGUGACGGCAAGCUAAUCUCUUAAAGCCAAUCUCAGUUCGGAUUGUAGGCUGCAACUCGCCUACAUGAAGUCGGAAUCGCUAGU
rnacentral:rRNA from 1 species